rnacentral:rRNA from 1 species
UACGGGGGGGGCAAGCGUUGUUCGGAAUUACUGGGCGUAAAGGGCUCGUAGGCGGCCAACUAAGUCAGACGUGAAAUCCCUCGGCUUAACCGGGGAACUGCGUCUGAUACUGGAUGGCUUGAGGUUGGGAGAGGGAUGCGGAAUUCCAGGUGUAGCGGUGAAAUGCGUAGAUAUCUGGAGGAACACCGGUGGCGAAGGCGGCCUGCUGGGACAUGGCUGACGCUGAGGCGCGACAGCGUGGGGAGCAAACGGG